rnacentral:lncRNA from 1 species
AACCGUUCGCGCGGAUGCUCUCGGAGGGAUUCUCUGGCUGAGGGGAUUAUCGCUCUCUCCGACUCUCUCGGCAUCUCGGAGAGCGAUCUAGGGUUUUGACGGCCGGAUCGAUUCAAGGUGGAAAUCGGUCUCUCUCUUUAGCUUGAGGAUCUCGACUUCCUCAUCUGCACCUUCGCGAGCUCCGAAGCCGAUUGGCAAUGGUGGUAACGACGGCAGCGGCGGCAACAGCUUCCAAUCGUUUUCUUGUUCUGCUUUGCCGGUAGUCUCGUGCGCAAGAGAGAUUCCGACGAUUCCUCUCUGGCUGGAUCUCGCGCUCAGGAUCUGUCUCUCGCUCUCUGGUUUUGUCUCUCGGUCGGUCUCUCUCUUGAUUGAAGAUGGAACAGAUGAAGAUCGAAGGAGUUCUUCGUUGUUACUUGAUCAUCAAAAUCUCUGAAGAUGCUUCGGAGUAGUUGAUGUGCUGAUUUCCAGAAAAUCGCAGAAUGAAGAUUGAGCUAAGUCUUCUCAAUCUUUACUUGUACAUUUGUUGCGCAAAGAUUCUGAUUUCAGCAGAUUCUGUUGACAUUUAAUUUCACUGAUUUUGUUGAAGAAGAAGCUGAGAAAAACACGUCUAGAUUGCAACUCGAAAGAAGCAUACACCAUCUUCAAAUCAGCAGCCGAGGCGUUCAUUCGAUGAGUUCGAGGAUCACAGAAUCAAAGGCCAGCGUUCUUCAUUUUCCAGGAGUUCCAAUAACAAAAUCGAAGCUAAGUGUUUGGUUUCCUCUUUUCUAUUUCGGUAAGGAGUGUUAUUAGAUUCAGAUCCUCCACUGAUUUCAGUACAUGUUUUUUUGUUAAAUAGCAACUUCAUUGUCACUGAAUGGUGGACAUCUCCGAAGGUCAGUUCUUGGCCGAUUCAUUAAGGACCAAGGUGGGUGCCAUGAAACUCCAUUUAAUAUCAUCCGAUGAGGCGAGAGCUUCUCGUGUCGUGAUUCAUGAUCGACAAUGAAGGUUUGGGGCCAGGAUGCAUUGCAAAUCUAAUUAAAAUCAAUGUUUGUAUGAUCUGGAAUUGAUUGCAGUUGGAUGCUGAGAUUCUGUGAUUUUCGAUUUCGGAUGAGUGAUUCACUGUUUCGGCUGAAAGGAGGUGCUAGAUGAGGUUUUUUGACCUCGAGUCCUUCUAGACAUAUAAAAUAUACUUCUAGAGCUUCGAUUUGAUAUGUUGCACGCCCUGAACGGACGUCGUUCAGUCAUCAAAAAACACCUACAAAGUCUGUCAAUUCUGCAGUAGUUUUAAGGUUGAUUUGCUGUUCUGAUUGAUUCUCUGUUUCGAAUGACCUUUUGUGCAAAUGACCUGAUAUGAGCUGGUUUCUGUGGUUUUCUGUGUUCGAUGUCUUCACGAGAGUUGAAGAAGACUCAAAGACCUUUCCAACGACCCAUUGAACGUUCCGAUCCGAUGUCGUUUACUAGCUGAAAUUAGCUCGGCAUUUAGCACCAGUUUUCUGGAAAAUUUUGGUGUUCUGACUUGCUCUCUGUUCUGAAUGACCUACUGUGAUUUUCUGUUUUAACUGGACUAAGCUGGUAGAUGAUGUUAUUAGGGUUUAAUGUCUUCUAGAGAUUUGUAAUAGACUUUUCAAGCGUUCCAUAGACAUAUAAUACGUGCGAUUUGGCCACCAUUUGCCCUACCUGAUGCUUCUUGCAAAGAGCACUAAUCUGCUGAUGUGUUCUGCUUGUUAUAAUCUGAUCUGACCACUUAUACAAAUGGCUUUGCUUGAGCUAGAAAAAGACCUAAAUUGCAAUUGUCACCUAAUAGGAAUUCAUAAAAGACACCUUGAGCUUUCUAACGGUGCCUAGUUUGUUCAAUUUGCCCAUCAUUUGCCCUGCCUUUCUUUUUUUUCAAAUUGAGCUUUGAAAUCUGGAAUUUGUCUUGAACUACAAUGCUGUCUUUUCUGUGGCUAGUUGCUGUUAGUCUUAAGAUGAGAUAGUAGAUUUGUCCAAUUGCUUUCAAUAUGUUGUAGAAUGACGGUGUGACAUGUUACUGUGCUCUAUUCUGGAUUGACUUGUUUUUUUUAGAUUUUUAGAAAUUCAUGUGUUGAUAUGAUGAUAGUGUCUCUAUGAAAUUUAUUUGGGAUAUCACAUAGAAUUUGAUUCAGAGACCUUGUGACUUUAGUCACUCUUUUUGAAUAUAAAAAUGUCUUGCUUUUGAUUGUUUUGAUGUAUUUGCUCGUCUCUUUCCAUUGUAUGCAUUUAGCUAGAAGUUUCCUAAGCUAGGUUUAGAUUAGGACCCCGAAGAUGGAGAAGGCGUGAAGAUGGUGAAGGUCGAUGUCCACUCCGACUGUUAUCAUAUAAUGCUCAUUUUCCCGACAUAUGUCUCGGGUUUUAUGCAUUGUAUAAAGCCCGACGAGUUGCGGGUUUCCUUUCUUUCUCGAUUGUUUUCUCUUUUAUAUUCUUUAGAAUUGCAUGAUUAAGUUUAUUGCUUUCUCUUGAUUGUUUACUUCAUGUCUUGCACUUUCAAUUUCAUUGAUUGUUUUCCUUUCUUUUUAGAAAUAGAAUAGCAUGAAAAUGAUCAACCAUGCAUGAUCACUUAGUCUAGGAAUUGAUGAUCCUAAAAAUGUAAAAAGAAACGCAGACAUAUUAGAAAAUACAACAUACUGUUUAGGUACCGAAAGGGCGCUAAUAGCAAUAUUAGCGUAAUCCAAGUCCCCGAACCUAGAUAUCUGGUUGCGUAGGAAUCGAGGGAAUACUCCCGACCCUCGAUUGGGUUUCUAGCCGACUCCCAAAGUUAAGGCUAGUGGCGACUCCCGUCUAUUUUUAGGUUGUCAUAAAUAAGUAGAUCGUAUAAAUAAAUCCGUUGUCACGCGGGGUAUGAGUUUCGAUGAAACUCACUAUGGUUUAGCAUACUUGAUGUGGGAGUAGCCCAAAGGAUGAAGUGAUGCCAUCCUAAUGGGUGAAGCGUACUAUCGAGAGGGCUACCAUGGUAAAAGUACCUUUAAAUUCGAUAUCCACAUUCGACUCCUUUUUUUAGGUGUGUCGCUUAUGUGGGUAUGGAUCGCGACAUUCCGCUGUCACGCGGGGUACGAGCUUGGGAGAGCUCGCGAUCUCGUAGAGG